rnacentral:rRNA from 1 species
UACGGAGGGGGCGAGCGUUAUUCGGAAUUAUUGGGCGUAAAGGGCGCGUAGGCGGCUUGACAAGUCAAAGGUGAAAUCCCUCGGCUCAACUGAGGAACUGCCUUUGAAACUGUCUGGCUUGAGGCCGGGAGGGGGUAGCGGAAUUCCCAGUGUAGCGGUGAAACGCUUAGAUAUCGUCAAGAACACCAAUAGUGAAGACAGCUUACUGGGCUUAAACUGACGCUGAGGCACGAAAGUGUGGGGAUCAAACAGG